UACAGAGGGGCAAGCGUUAUUCGGAAUUAUUGGGCGUAAAGGGCGCGUAGGCGGCGAUUCAAGUGGCGGGUGAAACUCCCUCGGCUUAACCGAGGAACUGCCUGCCAGACUGGAUUGCUUGAGUCCGGGAGAGGUGAGUGGAAUUCCCAGUGUAGCGGUGAAAUGCGUAGAUAUUGGGAGGAACACCAGUGGCGAAGGCGGCUCACUGGACCGGAACUGACGCUGAGGCGCGAAAGCGUGGGAGCAACAGG
rnacentral:rRNA from 1 species